rnacentral:tRNA from 1 species
GCCGAGGUGGCGGAAUUGGCAGACGCGCACGUUUGAGGGGCGUGUGCCGCAAGGCAUACGGGUUCAAGUCCCGUCCUCGGCACCA